rnacentral:lncRNA from 1 species
GGAGUUUGGUUUGCGUUUGCCCCACUUUUGGAAGAGAAAUGUGAUGAUGUGUGGUCUUGACUGAACUCCUAGGAGUAAGAAUUAGGCCUAUCCCUACAACUAGAUAUAUCCAGUAAACGUACAACUUUAUUAUUUCUCUAUUUUUGAUGCCUUUCAGUAUGAUACGAUAAGUGAGCCCCGUUUUAUUUGAAUGUUGACUUUCCAAUCCUCUUCUUAAGAUGCAGUUCGGUUACAAGUUCAAAAUCUGGGUUAUAGAUUUG